GCCAGCGCGGAGCAGCGCGGGCGAGGCGUCGGGAAUGGCUCCGGCAGCGACCGGCGGGAUCCCGCCGACUACGCCAGCGCCGGGCCUGACGGGUGACUGGCUGGGCAACAGCUCCGUUCCUGGUGGAGAGGUUCCGUGGGUUUUGUCAAGCCGUGGCUUACAGACAACUACUUUGGCAACUAAAAUGGAUGGCAAUGAUGGCAAGGCUGAACACCUAGAGUAUAUUGCCUUUGCUUUGGUUCCUAUUUUCUUCAUCAUGGGUCUCUUGGGGAUCCUUAUCUGCCAUAUCCUUAAGAAAAAAGGAUAUCGUUGUACAACAGAAGCUGAAGAAAUAGAAGAAGAAAAAAUAGAUGAAAAAAUAGAACUGAAUGAAACUAUACAUGAGAAUAGUGACACUGUGGGACAAAUUGUUAACUACAUCAUGAAAAAUGAAGCAAAUGCUGAUGUGUUAAAGGCCAUGGUAGCAGAUAGCAGUGUCUUUGAACCUGAAAGCCCAUUAUCUCCUACCUCUCCUGAGAGUCCAGUGAGUCCAGGGACUCCUUUGUCACCAGGUGUUGUUCCAUUCAGACACAACUGCAAAGCCCAUCACUUCCACACUGUUGGAGGAGUGGUAGAAAAGGAUGUUUGUACUCGCUGUAGUCACAAGCGAUGGCACCUUAUAAAGCCAGCUCAAAAAUCCAAAGAGAACAGGAGAAGUCGUAUUGGAGAAGUUACAGUCCUUUCUGUGGGAAGAUUUCGGGUCACAAAAGUAGAUCACAAAUCAAACUCCAAAGAACGGAAAAGCUUGAUGUCCGUUACUGGCGUGGAGAGUGUCAAUGGUGAGAUGCCUGCCACGCCUGCAAAACAGGAUGUGAGUGAAGCACCUGCCACACCUGUGGAACAGGACAUGCAAGAGAGGAGAAGCUCAGAGUAAAUGCAGAUCUGUGGAGCUUUGACUAAUAGCAAUGGAGUCACAUGAAACUGCUGAUCUCACAGGGAUCUGAAUAAGGUUGGGGUUUUCUUGUGGAACUUUUAGAAGAAGAUUGUCUGCAAGCACUUAGGAGAAAAAUGAAAACUCCCAAGAGAUACAUAAUAUUUAAGGAAAUGUAUUUAAGGCAAUGUAGCAUUUUACAGAUUCUGUGAUGUCAUUCCUGCAAGGUUAAACACUUAGUGGUUUUUGACCAGUAAAAUAGUGAGUUUUAGACACUUAAAUACUGUUGAGCUGUAUGGACAUCAUAACGAAUGGCUUCAUCUUGGAAAGAAAACACGUACAAGUUUUUGGACAGGGAAGGUAAAGGCUUUAUCAAGCCUUAAACUUUUUUUGUACUUAAACAAGCAAUGAUGAGCUCAAUAUUAAGAGUAAUACAAUUACCUCGUGGAUAAACUGCAUUCUUCCCCAGUGGUCCGUCUGGAUUUUUCUUCUCCCCACUCCUGAAUUGAAAAAUAUUUACUGAAGAAUAAAGCCAGCCUUUGAAAGAUGAAAAUAUUCUUUUAAUCUAACUGGUUGUAGCCAAGUAAAACAUACAUGGAAGUAAUUAUGUCAACCAAAUAUGCAUGUGUGCCUUUAGUACAUAAGCCCUCAAACUCUGUGCAGAGUACCUCACAGUAGAGACUGGUUCAGUUAUAUGCAGUUGUUAAAUUCAGUUGUUGUUCCCCAGACCUGUACUUUCCCCUUAAUACUUAACAUAGGCUGAAGAGCAUCUUUUCUUACACAGUUGGAUGAGCUCUUGUGAGGUUACUUUCCUCAAGGCCUUGUGUUCUCCUGUUUUCGUGUAACUGCUUACUCAUAUUUGAAGAGUGCCUAAUAGUUCUGCUUUUCUUUUUUUUUGUUCUUACCCACAGGUUCCUUAUUAAGCUAAGGCAACAUAUUUCAACCCUUAGAUAAGGAAAUGGAAUAUUGGGCAUUAAAAAAUGUAUGGAAUAUAUACUAAAGUGCUUCAGAGUGGCUUUAUUGGACUGAGGGUAGUUGUAUUCAUUGGCACCAAAAUCUUAAACCAGUGUCACUCCUUUCAUAUUUUAAGUGUGUCUUAAUGCUAAAAUGACCAUGGUAUUGUGAUGUUAAUUCUCUGUAUCUGCUUAUGAUCUUGGCUUUGUACUGUUACUUGUUUUUGGGAGGGAAAUCUUUGUAAUACUUCAACAAACUUUUCUGUGUAGUAGAAAAUCAUAUAAUUUGUUCUAAGUGCCUAAGAAUAUAAUGCAUUUUAGAGAUUGCACUAUAUUCUGAGAACUAUAACUUAAUCUUUAUGAACUCAGUGUAUGUUUUUGAAAUAGAUUUAUUUUAAAUUGAUACCUUCAUUCUUUUUAAUAUAAGUGCUCUAAAUUUUGUUUCUCCUUCAUAUCUGGGAAUUGUGUUUCUUCAUUCUUCAUCGAUUUAUGUGUUAACAAUCAGUGUGUACAAAAUUGUUCUUCUUGCUUGUGUAUUAAUUACUCCCAUGUCUUGUCAGGAAACAUCAGGUUUUUUCACUCUUGCUGCAAGUACGUGCUGCUGAUGGUCUUCCUUUUGUCUGUAUCCACAAGAUACUGACUGGUCCUGUCAAUAUGUACUUUUCAGCGAUGCCAUAUUUGCCAUAAAAACCCGCCACUACCCACCCAAACUUUGAAAAUAAUAAAUGUUUUAUUGUUCUUUUUAAAAUGGAUAUUCUUAGAGAUAAUUGCCUGUCCUUGAGAACCCAAAAUAACUGACCGCGACUCUAACUUCAGUGUUUAGCACUGCUCCCUGCUCCCAUAAAUUUAAAAUCAGCUUGUGAAAUCUCUUCAGUAUUUAAGUACAACAUAACAUAAACACCAUCCUCAUCUUACAGGAAUACAUUAAGCUUCACAUGAUUAUUUGUGUGAAGAAUAUUUCUAGAAAAUGUAAUUAGUAUUGGUUGUAAUAGUAAGCAUUCAGUUUCCAAGAGAUUGAUAGCUUUGAGUAUAAAAUGUUGCUGGAAAAAGGGAGCAUUGGAGGAAACAGCAGUUUUCAAAUAAUUUUCAGAAGGAAGAUACAGAGUGUCCCCAAAGCUUUUUCUAAAAAAAGGGCAGUUUGUCUUGAUACUGUAUUUUGAUGCAUGAUGGUUUAGUACUGCAAAUGAAUGACAAAAGGAUGGAAUAAAGUUUAAACAGUAAUAUGUAUUUUUUUACUUAUUUUAAAAGGAAUUUCUAUUUUGAUUGCAUUGAAAAUACAUGGAAUAAAAGGGAUGGAAAGAUGUUGUAUAUGUAAAACAUUGUUUACCUGUAUAAAGUAAUUAUGUAAGGUAUUAUAAGACCCGAUAUGUGCAAGAAUUGAAUUGAUGCAUUGCUACUUAAGUAAGAGAGGAUUUAGAAACUGUGCCUGUUUUAUUGCCUUUAACACUACACUGCUAUUUUGUAGGGGUAUGGAUACUGCCAUAUUAGUCUGCUUUUCUUAAAUUUGCUUAUCAAAUGUAUUUUUAACAAAAUAGUUUAUAUACAACUUUUAUACUACCAAGCAGUAAAUAAAAAAUAUUGAUUCUUAA